UGAAAUUCAUAAAUUCUCGUUGGAGCUCCUGCUUGCGCCACCGCGAGAUCUUGAUCCCUAGACACCGGUUUGAAACCCGUGAAGUAAGUCGUCGCUCACUUCUUCCUUUGACGUCUUCAUCAUCUUUUUCCGUUUCCGUCGUUUCGGCUUCGACGCCUUCCAUUUCAUCUUCAUUUUCUUCUCCUUCCUUUCUCCGAUUCAGACGUUCUUUUUAUCUAAUGCAUCACCGUUGA